AUUGAACGCUGGCGGCAUGCUUUACACAUGCAAGUCGAACGGCAGCGCGGGCUUCGGCCUGGCGGCGAGUGGCGAACGGGCGAGUAAUACAUCGGAACGUGCCCAGUAGUGGGGGAUAGCUCGGCGAAAGCCGGAUUAAUACCGCAUACGACCUGAGGGUGAAAGCGGGGGAUCUUCGGACCUCGCGCUAUUGGAGCGGCCGAUGGCAGAUUAGCUAGUUGGUGGGGUAAAGGCCUACCAAGGCGACGAUCUGUAGCUGGUCUGAGAGGACGACCAGCCACACUGGGACUGAGACACGGCCCAGACUCCUACGGGAGGCAGCAGUGGGGAAUUUUGGACAAUGGGCGAAAGCCUGAUCCAGCAAUGCCGCGUGUGUGAUGAAGGCCUUCGGGUUGUAAAGCACUUUUGGCGGGAACGAAAAGGACUGUGCCAAUACCACGGUUCGAUGACGGUACCCGCAGAAUAAGCACCGGCUAACUACGUG
rnacentral:rRNA from 1 species